rnacentral:rRNA from 1 species
CCCAUCCGUGUCUAUUGUACCCUGUUGCUUCGGCGGGCCCGCCGCUUGUCGGCCGCCGGGGGGGCGCCUCUGCCCCCCGGGCCCGUGCCCGCCGGAGACCCCAACACGAACACUGUCUGAAAGCGUGCAGUCUGAGUUGAUUGAAUGCAAUCAGUUAAAACUUUCAACAAUGGAUCUCUUGGUUCCGGCAUCGAUGAAGAACGCAGCGAAAUGCGAUAACUAAUGUGAAUUGCAGAAUUCAGUGAAUCAUCGAGUCUUUGAACGCACAUUGCGCCCCCUGGUAUUCCGGGGGGCAUGCCUGUCCGAGCGUCAUUGCUGCCCUCAAGCCCGGCUUGUGUGUUGGGUCGCCGUCCCCCUCUCCGGGGGGACGGGCCCGAAAGGCAGCGGCGGCACCGCGUCCGAUCCUCGAGGCGUAUGGGGCUUUGUCACAUGCUCUGUAGGAUUGGCCGGCGCCUGCCGACGUUUUUCCAACCAUUUCUUUUCCAGGUUGACCUCGGAUCAGGUAGGGGAUACCCCGCUGAACUUAAGCAU